GAGAAAAAGAAACCUUGGGAAAAGAAAGCUGAGGAAAAGAAACCAGAAGAAAAGAAACCAGAGGAGAAAAAGAAACCUUGGGAGAAGAAAAAACCAGAAGAGAAAAAGCCUGCAGACAAGCCAGAGGAAAAGAAAGCACCAG